rnacentral:rRNA from 1 species
CCCAUCCAGGAAGGCGCAGGCGCGCAAAUUACUCAUGUUGUAUCGACGAAGUAGUGACGGGAAAUAACGAUGUGGAGCGCUCAGCGUUUUACAAUCGGAAUGAGAGCAACGUAAAAGCCUCAUCGAGGAUCAAUUGGAGGGCAAGUCUGGUGCCAGCAGCCGCGGUAAUUCCAGCUCCAAUAGCAUAUAUUAACGUUGUUGCAGUUGAAAAGCUCGUAGUUGAACUUUUGGUAGAGCGUGAUCUCCCUUUGGGCGAAUGCCCAUCGAGCGAGUGUCGUGCUUGGCCAUCCUUCCUCAUGUCGUCUUUGGCGGUGUGUGGAUCAUUUACUGUGAGUAAACUGGAGUGCUCAAAACAAGACGUUUGUUUGGUACAUUAAAGCAUGGAAUAAUAAGAUAGGGCCUAGUUACUAUUUUGUUGGUUUGCAUAGCUGGGUAAUGAUUAACAGGGACAGUUGGGGGUAUUCGUAUUUAAUUGUCAGAGGUGAAAUUCUUGGAUUUAUGAAAGACGAACGACUGCGAAAGCAUUUACCAAGGAUGUUUUCAUUAAUCAAGAACGAAAGUUAGGGGAUCGAAGAUGAUUAGAUACCAUCGUAGUCUUAACCGUAAACUAUGCCGACUUGCGAUUGUCCGAUAUUCGUAAUGGAUUUGGGCAGCAGCACAUGAGAAAUCAAAGUCUUUGGGUUCCGGGGGGAGUAUGGUCGCAAGGCUGAAACUUAAAGGAAUUGAC